rnacentral:piRNA from 1 species
UGCCACUGACAGACUGUAUUGCCAAGA